CAAAAAAAUAACUCUAGAUCCUGAGAUAAAUAAGAAUUUACCUCACUUUGGCUCUGAUACCAACUGACGCGGAACCCUAUGGCACAAGCCUCAAACCCACACGCACAAGUAGAUAUGGAAUCCAAAGAUUUGAUAAACCCACCUCCUAUGGCACCCCACACUUAGAGAAGCUGAAACACCAAUGAUCGAAGGAUUUAGAUGAGAAUC
rnacentral:lncRNA from 1 species